CCACCACUAUUACUCUUUAUUUUUGUCAUUUCUACUAUUGCUACUAUUAUUACUGUUAUUGAUAUUGUUCUUGUAACGCUUAAUUCAAGUCCGUUAUUAUUAUUUUUGUUGUUAUUAUCGUUAUUAUUAUUAUUGCUAUUAUUAUUAUUAUUGUUAAUAUUGUUAUUAGUAUUAUUUCAGUUAUUAUUACUGUUAUUUUUUUCUAUUAUUAUUAUUAUUAUUAUUAUUAUUAUUAUUAUUAUUAUUGUUUUUAUUAUUAUUAUUAUUAUUAUUAUUAUUAUUAUUAUUAUUAUUAUUAUUGCCAUAAUUUCUGUUACUACUACUACUACUGCCACUGCUGUUACCAAUGAUAUUAAUGAUAAGGAUAAUGAACUACUGCUGCUGCUAGGUCUUAACAGUUACUCUUGUCCAUGCUGCUAUUAAUGCUAUAACUACCACCACUACUCCUGUCAUUGUUACUACUACUAUUGAUGCUAUUAUUAUUAUUAUUAUUAUUAUUACUGUUAUUACCACCACUACUACUGCUAUUUAUACUUCUACUAUUACUACUGUUGUUGGUACAGCAGUUUUAUUUAUUUAUUUUAUUGUAUUUUCUUUAUUGUUAUUAUUAUUUUUGUUUUAUUGUGAUAUAUCUUUAUUUCUGUUGAAAUUGUUGUUAUUAUUAUUAUUAUUAUUAUUAUUAUUAUUAUCAUUAUUAUCAUCAUUAUUUAUGUUAUUAUUGUCAUUAUUAAUUUUGGUGUUGUUUGUAUUAUUUUUGUUUGUCAUUUAUCAUUAUUAUUAUUAUUAUUAAUAUCAUUAUCAUUAUUAUUAUUUCUGGUGUUAUUACAUUUUUUAUUAAAAAUCUUUUCAUGACUAUCACUGAGGUUGUUGUUGUUUUUUAUUAUUAUUAUUAUCAUUAAAGUUAUUAUUAUUAUUAUUAUUAUAUUAAUUAUUAUUAUUAAGGCAAAGUCAGGAAUCGGAGAAUUGAAUGAAAGGUGAUGGUAGUGAAAGCCGUUUCAAUGAAAGGCUAGUAUACGCACGCUCUCUAAUAGUUGUCCUUACUGCAGAAACCGAGUCCAAACACAACUGCAGCUUAUACGUGUGAUUUUGGUCAAAUUUUUGCCGUGUUGAAUUUAAAGUCCGAGCUGCAAAGAAUAAUGUAUAACUACAUAUAUAUGCACAUACCAAACAUAUAUAUGUUUUAUGUGAUCACGUGUAAUGUUGUACACAAGGUUUUUCUCAAAUCACUUAGUAUUCCUUUGCGUUUUAUGAAAUUGGAAUGCAGUUUGAACAUUUAGUAUGACGUUGGAACUUGUUAUGCUUGUUAGGGCAACAGGGAGUAACCACGUUGAAUGGAACCAAGGUUGGGUUGUGGUGAAGAACCAAUUUACGAGUUGGGAGAAGCCAAGGUUGGGUUGUGGUGAAGAACCAAUUCGCGAGUUGAGAGAAGCCAAGGUUGCGCAAUGUUUUGCAUCCCGUGAUGAAUCUAUGUAUAUGUAUCCAAGGAGUUAAACUUCACUGUUGACCAAAGGAAUCAGCCUUGCACAAGGAUAUGCACUUAGCACACACACACACACUGUGUGAUAGCAGUCUUUCCAGCUUAAUGCUCAUCAUAUUCUCCAUCUGCAUGCCAAUGAUGUAUUUCAGUAUUAAUAAAUUAGUGGUCAGUUCUUGACGUAACAUAGGUUAAGCAGAUAUUGAAUUUGCAUCAUCAGAUUUAGUCAGUUGAAUACUGUAUUACAAGUUGCAAAUAAUGUGUUCCAACAUUAUGAUAUUGUACUGCUGAUUAGACAUAACUUUUAGUUCUAAGUCAUGAAGCUUUUAGGAUAAGAGUUUUUUUUUUUUCUUUUUUCUUUUUCUUUUUUAUAUAUACAUUUGACCAAUGCAUAAGCAGGAUAAUUAGAGAUAGAUAGAUGCAAUCAAAUUUAUUUUGGGUCUGACUUUACUCAUGUUGCUGUUUGUACUUAAUUGAGGUUGCUCUUUGGUAGGAGUUUGCUAGAUGAUUAAAGCUGAUUUUGCAAACUUAGAGUCAGAGGCUCACUUGUAGCAGUAAACUCUGCUUUAGUUAAGCAAAUUAGUAAAGAGGUCCAGGGUGGAGUCCAAGCAUGUUUCGCCGGCGAUUUUGUGUGCGAACUAACCCUCCAGAGUCAUGCACAGCCAUGAGAUUAGCAGAAAGUGAAGCAAGUCAAGUGGCUGGCCAAAGUCUUUCAGCAUGUGACUUGGCUGUGUCGUCAUGUAAAGGCCCGUCCUCACCAGUGGACAUGAUCGGCAGACACACGGGCAGGCAGGGACAUCACAGGUGGGGUACAAAAGGGGAACUACUUGUUUCCCGAGUAAUUUGCCCUCCCAUGAUUUCAUCUCUGCUUGAGCCCUGCGAUGUGCCCACCAAUCAUGCCUGCUUGUGUGGAUAGGUCUUCGCACAGUCGUGUGAGAUGCUUGCAAAUGUGGUAUGUAUUGUCUUGUUUUUAACAUUGGCUUUAAUCCAUUAACAACAGCUGACGUGCUAUCAUGUCUCAGUGAAAAGGUAUAGAUAACAGACGGAACCUCUUCAUCUGUGUCCCAGUCAAAGGGUUACCUCAUGCAUGCCCUCCCACAGGCCAGUCAACCUACCCAGGGGCAAAGCACUGCACACAUGAAUGCCCUUUCUCACCUAGCUUUACCAAAAUUUUACCCGUUGUCAUUUGGUUAAAAUUACGGCGUACAGCUUGAGAUCGGCCGGCGAAGCUCUAGCUUAUAUCAUGCUUGAAAUCCACCCUGGAAUAACUUUAUGCUUGACACCUUUAUAAUUGUGAUAGAGUGAAACAAAUCCUGCCUAACGUAUUCUACCUAUAUUGAGUCGUUUCGAUCCAUUGAUUUUAAGAAACAGGUUUUUGUUUCUGAAGGAUGCAUUUUAAUUAUUAUGUGCAAGACUAAAUUUUUUUGUAUUUUAGUUCAGAUUUGUAAAAAAGAAAUUUGAUUGUGGAUUACUUGCUCAGAAGCAUAUUAGUUUUUUUUUUUGUUUUUUUUUUAGCCGUUAUAUUUAUCUCUAUCUUUCUGUCUCGUUAUUUCCCUCUUCCAUAAAUGUAUAUGCUUCUAAAUGCACAUACAUGAAUUGCAUAAGAGAUUUGUUAUGGAAACAACUUCCAUUUCUCUAACAAUUUUGUUUGUUUGUUUGUUUAUGUAUGAAAUCCAUAUAUAUUUGUGAGAUGCAGGUUUGACAGUAUAUGAUACCACCUGCCUCUUGUGCUCUUGUUAUAUAGGCUUUAAGAGUGUCAGACAAUACAUACAUAUGAUUAUGCCUUUGAUGCAGCAUCCUGUAUUAUGUUGAAUGACAAUAGCAGAACCUAUUCUAUGUAAGCCAGUCUUUGCAUAUCAGCCAUUCACCCUCCAGGAUUGUGCUAUGAAGUCUUUCACGCAUAUAUUAGAAUAGCUUGCAGUAGAUCAUUCCCAGAUCUGUGAGAUUUUUCCCCUCUGUUUCCCGUGACGCCGAAAGUUGGUCUGUAAUUCAAAAAGGCUUUAAGGUAAUUUGAUUGAUCUUGAAACUUGUAAACUUGUCCAUGUAGCCUCCCAACUUAACAGUAUACUCAUUAUAGGCCAUAUCAGGAUCAGCCUUCUGUUAUCGUCCAUUUUAUCGUUUUUCUUUUCUUUUUUAAUGCGAAAAUUUUGGGGAGUUUGUCCUGUGUUGUGGGGUAAGAUCCAUUCAGUUUUACUCUUCUCUUUAAUGUGAUUGUUGAUUAGAUUAUUUUAAUUCUAAUAGUAAUGAGUUUGUAGAAAUGAAAGUUAUCAAAAUUAUCGACCCGUUUUCUUAUUUGAUUUAUACUUUGUAAUUGUACUUUCAAAAUUCUUCAAAUGUAAAGAAGUUGUUUGCAAAAUGUCCACAAAAUCUAUAUAUACCUUUUUUAAGGUGAGGAAAAAGAACAUUUCAGAAAGCUGAUUCUAUACUGAUAAGGCUUUUAUUUCAAUACACUUUUAACUUGCUCAGAGGAAUUCAGUUGAGCAUUUUUCAUUAUUGUGUAUUAACAUGUUUUGAAAUGUUUGAGUUAUUUGGGGGAAAAGAUCUACAUUGUUAAAAAGGUUUUAAUGUAAACUAUUCAUGUAAUUUUGAUGAAGGACAAUCAAAUGACAAUUUGCUGUUACAUUCCAUUUUUAUUUGUCACCACCACAUUGUAAUACAUUUGUAUUUAAAAUUGUAGAUUAUAAUGUAUUACUUUUUUACCAUUUGCCUAUAACAGGCAUUAUUGAUAAUCAAUAAUGAGAUAUGAUAGGAAACAACUUGUGUAUUUUUAUGAAGUUAAUUUAUGUAUUUCUAUGAGAUAAUAUACAGCACAAUGAUA